AUGUUACUCCCUCCGUCUGGAAAUACUUGUCAGAGAAAUGGAUAAAAAGGGAUGUAUGUCUAGAUACAUCCAUUUCUCCGACAAGUAUUUCCGGAUGGAGGGAGUAUUCG
rfam:Triticum aestivum genome assembly, contig: Triticum_aestivum_CS42_TGACv1_scaffold_080782_1DS